rnacentral:rRNA from 1 species
AUUGAACGCUGGCGGCAUGCCUUACACAUGCAAGUCGAACGGCAGCACGGACUUCGGUCUGGUGGCGAGUGGCGAACGGGUGAGUAAUGUAUCGGAACGUACCUUUCAGUGGGGGAUAACGUAGCGAAAGUUACGCUAAUACCGCAUAUUCUGUGAGCAGGAAAGCAGGGGAUCGCAAGACCUUGCGCUGAUUGAGCGGCCGAUAUCAGAUUAGCUAGUUGGUGGGGUAAAGGCCUACCAAGGCUACGAUCUGUAGCGGGUCUGAGAGGAUGAUCCGCCACACUGGAACUGAGACACGGUCCAGACUCCUACGGGAGGCAGCAGUGGGGAAUUUUGGACAAUGGGGGCAACCCUGAUCCAGCCAUGCCGCGUGAGUGAAGAAGGCCUCGGGUUGGUAAAGGUACUCUUUCGGUCCGGGAACGGAAAGUACGCAUAGGCGUAAUACCCUACGUGUGGAGUGACGGUACCGGAAGUAAGAAGACACCGGCGUAACUACGUAGCCAGCAGCCG